rnacentral:rRNA from 1 species
GACGAACGCUGGCGGCGUGCUUAACACAUGCAAGUCGAGCGGAGCGGCGAACGGGUGAGUAACGCGUGAGUAACUGCCCCCCUCUCUGGGAUAACAGUUGGAAACGGCUGCUAAUACCGGAUAGUGGGGGAUGACUCGCGUCCUAUCGGCUUGUUGGUGGGGUAGUGGCCUACCAAGGCGACGACGGGUAGCCGGCCUGAGAGGGCGACCAGCCACAUGGGGCUGAUAUAGGGCCCAAACUGCGACGGGGGGCAGAAGGGGGGAAUAUUGCACAAUGGGGGAAACGCUGUUGCAGCAACGCGCGUGCGGAAUGACGGCCUUCGGGUUGGGAACCGCUUUCAGCCAUGACGCGGUAGUGGCAGAAGAAGCACCGGCUAACUACGUGCCAGCAGCCGCGGUAAUUC